rnacentral:rRNA from 1 species
UACGGGGGGGGCAAGCGUUGUUCGGAAUUACUGGGCGUAAAGGGUCGGUAGGUGGCCCGCUAAGUCACACGUGAAAUCCCUCAGCUCAACUGGGGAACUGCGUGUGAGACUGGCAGGCUCGAGUGCAGGAGAGGAACGCGGAAUUCCAGGUGUAGCGGUGAAAUGCGUAGAUAUCUGGAGGAACACCGGUGGCGAAGGCGGCGUUCUGGACUGUAUCUGACACUGAACGACGAAAGCCAGGGGAGCAAAC